AGAGUUUGAUCCUGGCUCAGGAUGAACGCUAGCGGCAGGCCUAAUACAUGCAAGUCGAACGGGUGGUAGCAAUACCACUAGUGGCGCACGGGUGCGUAACGCGUAACCAACCUACCUGGAUCUGGGGGAUAGCCCGCCGAAAGGGGAUUAAUACCGCAUAAGACUAUAGCUCGGCAUCGAGUAGUAGUUAAAGAUUUAUUGGAUUCAGAUGGGGUUGCGUAGCAUUAGCUUGAUGGCGGGGUAACGGCCCACCAUGGCGACGAUGCUUAGGGGACCUGAGAGGGUGAUCCCCCACACUGGCACUGAGAUACGGGCCAGACUCCUACGGGAGGCAGCAGUAGGGAAUAUUGGGCAAUGGGCGAGAGCCUGACCCAGCCAUGCCGCGUGCCGGAUGAAGGCCUUCUGGGUUGUAAACGGCUUUUCUCAGGGAAGAAAAAGACCAUGCGUGGUACACUGACGGUACCUGAGGAAUAAGCACCGGCUAACUCCGUGCCAGCAGCCGCGGUAAUACGGAGGGUGCAAGCGUUGUCCGGAUUUAUUGGGUUUAAAGGGUGCGUAGGUGGCCUUGUAAGUCCGUGGUGAAAGCCUCCUGCUCAACAGGAGAACUGCCAUGGAUACUGCCGGGCUUGAGUGUAGACGAGGGUGGCGGAAUAGAUGCUGUAGCGGUGAAAUGCAUAGAUAGCAUCUAGAACCCCAAUUGCGUAGGCAGCUGCCUAGACUACUACUGACACUGAGGCACGAAAGCGUGGGGAGCGAACAGGAUUAGAUACCCUAGUAGUCC
rnacentral:rRNA from 1 species